AACGAACGCUGGCGGCAUGCCUAACACAUGCAAGUCGAACGGGAUCCUGACUUCGGUUGGGUGAGAGUGGCGGACGGGUGAGUAACGCGUGGGAACCUGCCCAGUGGUGGGGGGAUAACUGCGGGAAACUGCAGCUAAUACCGCAUGAGCCCGAGAGGGGAAAGAUUUAUCGCCAUUGGAGGGGCCCGCGUUCGAUUAGGUAGUUGGUGAGGUAACGGCUCACCAAGCCUUCGAUCGAUAGCUGGUCUGAGAGGAUGAUCAGCCACACUGGGACUGAGAUACGGCCCAGACUCCUACGGGAGGCAGCAGUGGGGAAUAUUGGACAAUGGGGGGCAACCCUGAUCCAGCAAUGCCGCGUGAGUGAUGAAGGCCUCGGUUGUAAGGAUCUUUGUCACGGACGGAGUGAUGACGGUACCGUGGAGAA
rnacentral:rRNA from 1 species